rnacentral:misc_RNA from 1 species
GAUGAAGAACGCAGCGAAAUGCGAUACGUAAUGUGAAUUGCAGGAUUCAGUGAAUCAUCGAGUCUUUGAACGCACAUUGCGCCCCCUGGUAUUCCGGGGGGCAUGCCUGUCCGAGCGUCAUUGCUGCCCUCAAGCACGGCUUGUGUGUUGGGCCUCCGUCCUCCUCCCGGGGGACGGGCCCGAAAGGCAGCGGCGGCACCGCGUCCGGUCCUCGAGCGUAUGGGGCUUCGUCACCCGCUCUUGUAGGCCCGGCCGGCGCUUGCCGACACAUCAAUCUUUUUUCCAGGUUGACCUCGGAUCAGGUAGGGAUACCCGCUGAACUUAAGCAUAUCAAUAAGCGGAGGA